UACGGAGGAUGCAAGCGUUAUCCGGAUUUAUUGGGCGUAAAGCGUCCGCAGGUGGUUUUCCAAGUCUGCUGUUAAAGCGCGAGGCUUAACCUCGUACAGGCAGUGGAAACUGGAUGACUAGAGUAUGGUAGGGGUAGCGGGAAUUCCCAGUGUAGCGGUGAAAUGCGUAGAUAUUGGGAAGAACACCAACGGCGAAAGCACUCUGCUGGGCCGACACUGACACUGAGAGACGAAAGCUAGGGGAGCGAAUGGG
rnacentral:rRNA from 1 species